rnacentral:rRNA from 1 species
GCAGUCGAGCGGACCGACGGGAGCUUGCUCCCUUAGGUCAGCGGCGGACGGGUGAGUAACACGUGGGUAACCUGCCUGUAAGACUGGGAUAACUCCGGGAAACCGGGGCUAAUACCGGAUGCUUGAUUGAACCGCAUGGUUCAAUCAUAAAAGGUGGCUUUUAGCUACCACUUGCAGAUGGACCCGCGGCGCAUUAGCUAGUUGGUGAGGUAACGGCUCACCAAGGCGACGAUGCGUAGCCGACCUGAGAGGGUGAUCGGCCACACUGGGACUGAGACACGGCCCAGACUCCUACGGGAGGCAGCAGUAGGGAAUCUUCCGCAAUGGACGAAAGUCUGACGGAGCAACGCCGCGUGAGUGAUGAAGGUUUUCGGAUCGUAAAACUCUGUUGUUAGGGAAGAACAAGUACCGUUCGAAUAGGGCGGUACCUUGACGGUACCUAACCAGAAAGCCACGGCUAACUACGUGCCAGCAGCCGCGGUAAUACGUAGGUGGCAAGCGUUGUCCGGAAUUAUUGGGCGUAAAGCGCGCGCAGGCGGUUUCUUAAGUCUGAUGUGAAAGCCCCCGGCUCAACCGGGGAGGGUCAUUGGAAACUGGGGAACUUGAGUGCAGAAGAGGAGAGUGGAAUUCCACGUGUAGCGGUGAAAUGCGUAGAGAUGUGGAGGAACACCAGUGGCGAAGGCGACUCUCUGGUCUGUAACUGACGCUGAGGCGCGAAAGCGUGGGGAGCGAACAGGAUUAGAUACCCUGGUAGUCCACGCCGUAAACGAUGAGUGCUAAGUGUUAGAGGGUUUCCGCCCUUUAGUGCUGCAGCAAACGCAUUAAGCACUCCGCCUGGGGAGUACGGUCGCAAGACUGAAACUCCAAGGAAUUGACG